GCUCCCGUAGUGUAGCGGCCAAUCAUCACGGCCUCUCGAGCCGUAGACUCGGGUUCAAAUCCCGACGGGAGCA
rnacentral:tRNA from 1 species